UGAUCAACCUGCCUUGGCCUCCCAAAGUGCUAGGAUUACAGGCAUGAGCCACAACGUCCGGCACCCACAACUCUUUAAGCUGUUUAGACUUGAAGGUUGCUUGUUACUGCAGCAUAACCCAGACUAACCUGACUGAUGCAGUCAAACCUUGAUUAAUGAGAAGAUGGAAGGGACACUGUAGAACAGGAGAAGGCUGACAGCAGGUUCCAGGAUAUCCUAAAGCUAAAAUAACUCAUCAGAUUUGGACAGAGUAGAAGGCAAAGGACUAUAAGUUCCACGUUCAUUAUUAGCAGUAAAACUAAGUCUUUGUAACUGAGUUAUAAGAUUUUUUCACCUGAAAGAGAUCAUCCAAGGUCAAACAGCAAGCAUGUCAGAAUGGAAAGGAAAGGUAAAAACAAAUGUAUAUUAUUAUCUGCUUUAAACUUAGAGCAAUAGUUUCUUAAA
rnacentral:lncRNA from 1 species